rnacentral:misc_RNA from 1 species
UUAACUAUUAUAUAGUACUCAGACAUCACUAACAUUCAGAGUUUGGUCCUCUGGCAGGCACAUGCAGGCUGAGCCCACAGUGGGAGGCCACGGCCUGCCAAAGCAACAAGAGUAUAUAGACACGGAUGGGGUAUACCAUAAAGGUAUCCUUUUGUUUAAUGAUCCUUCCGCAGGUUCACCUACGGAAA